rnacentral:rRNA from 1 species
GACGAACGCUGGCGGCGUGCUUAACACAUGCAAGUCGAACGGAAAGGCCCUGCUUUUGUGGGGUGCUCGAGUGGCGAACGGGUGAGUAACACGUGAGUAACCUGCCCUUGACUUUGUGAUAACUUCAGGAAACUGGGGCUAAUACCGGAUAUGAGCUCCUGCUGCAUGUUGGGGGUUGGAAAGUUUCGGCGGUUGGGGAUGGACUCGCGGCUUAUCAGCUUGUUGGUGGGGUAGUGGCUUACCAAGGCUUUGACGGGUAGCCGGCCUGAGAGGGUGACCGGCGACAUUGGGACUGAGAUACGGCCCAGACGCCUACGGGAGGCAGCAGUGGGGAAUAUUGCACAAUGGGCGGAAGCCUGAUGCAGCAACGCCGCGUGCGGGAUGACGGCCUUCGGGUGGUAAACCGAUUUCGCCUGUGACGAAGCGUGAGUGACGGUAAUGGGUAAAGAAGCACCGGCUAACUACGUG